rnacentral:rRNA from 1 species
AGCGAACGCUGGCGGCAGGCCUAACACAUGCAAGUCGAACGGAUCCUUCGGGAUUAGUGGCGGACGGGUGAGUAACACGUGGGAACGUGCCCUUUGGUUCGGAACAACUCAGGGAAACUUUAGCUAAUACCGGAUGUGCCCUUCGGGGGAAAGAUUUAUCGCCAUUGGAGCGGCCCGCGUCUGAUUAGCUAGUUGGUGAGGUAACGGCCCACCAAGGCGACGAUCAGUAGCUGGUCUGAGAGGAUGAUCAGCCACACUGGGACUGAGACACGGCCCAGACUCCUACGGGAGGCAGCAGUGGGGAAUCUUGCGCAAUGGGCGAAAGCCUGACGCAGCCAUGCCGCGUGAAUGAUGAAGGUCUUAGGAUUGUAAAAUUCUUUCAGCGGGGACGAUAAGGACGGUACCCGCAGAAGAAGCUCCGGCUAACUUCGU